rnacentral:rRNA from 1 species
ACGGAAGGCAGCAGUGAGGAAUAUUGGUCAAUGGAGGCAACUCUGAACCAGCCAUCUCGCGUGAAGGAAUACGGCCCUACGGGUCUUAAACUUCUUUUGUAGGGGGAUAAAGUGAGCCACGAGUGGCUUUUUGUAUGUACCCUAUGAAUAAGCAUCGGCUAACUCCGUGCCAGCAGCCGCGGUAAUACGGAGGGUGCGAGCGUUAUCCGGAUUUAUUGGGUUUAAAGGGUGCGCAGGCGGCACGUUAAGUCAGCGGUGAAAUGUCGGGGCUCAACCCGGGCACUGCCGUUGAAACUGGCGAGCUCGAGUACGGAUGAAGUUGGCGGAAUGUGAUGUGUAGCGGUGAAAUGCUUAGAUAUGUCACAGAACACCGAUUGCGAAGGCAGCUGACUAAUCCGCAACUGACGCUGAGGCACGAAAGCGUGGGGAUCGAACAGGAUUAGAUACCCUGGUA